CAUCUACAGUUCUGUGACCUUGAACAUCCAGCUAAUAAUGGGAGGAGUGACACAGGGAAAGACACACACGGCUUCUUUGACCUGGCCUUCUACUACUGGCUGGGUGCCCUGUAGCAAGUUGUUUAACAUCUCUGUAAAGAAGGGAUAGCACCUACAGAGGAGCACUUUGGAAAUUACGAAGGUUUAGCAGUGGAUUCAGCAAAGUUUAGAUGAUAGCAGAAUGGUAUCAAGAAACUUUGCAACCUGAAGUGGAGCAUGAGCUAGAACAGAAAGACUACCUUCCAUCCAUCCGAAAGAAGCUACAUACGGCAACUGAAGUAUUCCUAGAGAUUGUGCAGAAGAGACUGCCCUGAAUUUAUCACAGCCUACCUGAAUCUAGACCACAAUUUUCCGGCCUCUUCUUAAUCACAGCUUUAAUUCCACAGCUCUAAUAGCAAUAAAAUUAUUGCUAUUGUGAAAAACAAGGGCCUGAUAAAACCCACAGAACAACUACUCACUUAUAUUGGGACUAUUUUUAGUCAUGCUAUUAUAGAUCACACUGUAUUUUUGUGCAUAAUAAACAGACACAGGAAAACGCUGAAAAUGUAUGACUCAACUAUCUAAUUAAAGCUGAAUAAACUAACCUAGUCAGAUUUUCAUUUUUAAA